UACGGAGGGUGCGAGCGUUAAUCGGAAUUACUGGGCGUAAAGGGUGUGUAGGUUGUUAGAUAAGUUAGCUGUGAAAUCUCUGGGCUUAACCUGGAGGGGUGAGCUAAGACUGUUUGACUAGAGUAUAGUAGAGGGUAGUGGAAUUUCCGGUGUAGCGGUGAAAUGCGUAGAGAUCGGAAGGAACACCAGUGGCGAAGGCGGCUACCUGGGCUAAUACUGACACUGAGGCACGAAAGCGUGGGGAGCAAACAGG
rnacentral:rRNA from 1 species